AUGUAUCAGGACCUACGCCAAAGGUUCUGGUGGACUAGGAUGAAGAGAGAAAUUGCUCAGUAUAUUGCUAAUUGCGACGUUUGUCGUCGUGUAAAAGCAGAGCAUCAACGGCCUGCUGGCACCCUUCAACCCUUAGCUAUUCCUGAAUGGAAAUGGGAUAAAAUUGGUAUGGAUUUCAUUACCGGUUUUCCCAGGACCAAGAGAGGGAAUAAUGCUAUUUUCGUCAUUGUCGAUCGUCUUUCCAAAGUAGCCCAUUUCCUACCUGUUCGUGAGAGUAUAACCGCUAGUCAGCUGGCAGACUUAUACAUCUCCCGGAUAGUGUCUCUCCAUGGUGUUCCUUUGGAAAUUAACUCGGAUCGAGGAAGUAUUUUCACCUCUCGAUUUUGGGAAAGUUUCCAAAAUGCUAUGGGAACCCGUCUCUCCUUUAGCACCGCUUUCCACCCUCAGUCGAGUGGUCAAGUGGAACGCGUCAACCAGAUUCUAGAAGACAUGCUUCGAGCCUCUGUUAUCUCAUUCGGAAUGGAUUGGGAGAAGUGCCUUCCAUUUGCCGAAUUCGCUUACAACAACAGCUAUCAAUCUAGCUUGGGUAAAGCCCCUUUUGAAGUUCUCUAUGGACGACGGUGUCGAACACCCCUUAACUGGUCAGAAACCGGGGAAAGACAAUUCUUUGGCCCGGAUAUGAUUCAGGAAGCAGAAGAACAAGUUCGCAUCGUUCGUGAAAAGUUGAAAACAGCCCAAUCCCGUCAAAAGAGUCAAUAUGACCGAAAACAUAAGGCUAUGACUUUCGAGGUUGACGAGAAGGCUUACCUUCGGGUUACCCCUCUGAAGGGAACCCAUCGUUUCGGUAUCAAAGGCAAAUUGGCUCCUCGUUACAUUGGACCUUUUCGCAUUCUCGCCAAAUGA
rnacentral:rRNA from 1 species